rnacentral:rRNA from 1 species
UGAGUAAAACUUAGUGAAGGAAUUUGACAGGUAUAAAAUUUUAUAUAAUAUUAUUAUAGUUCAAAAAUU